GCCUGGGUGGCUCAGUAGGUUAAGCAGCUGACUUCAGCUCAGGUCAUGGUCUUGCGGUCUGUGGGUUUGAGCCCCACGUCAGGCU
rfam:Felis catus isolate Cinnamon breed Abyssinian chromosome B4, whole genome shotgun sequence.